CUGCAAAUACAGACAAGUUCCAGACCAGACCAGUGGUGAUGACCGUGUAUGACAUUAGGUGUGUGCCUGUCUGUGUGCACACCUGUCAACCAUACAUCUCUGAC